CUACCAAAAGUUAACUUUUUGUGGGUAAGGUUUAUUAAGUAACCUUUACCAGCUUGGGCUAUUUGGAAAAAUAAAAUAAAGACCACGCUCCACAGUGGACUAUACCACUUAUAGUUUGCUACUAUUUUGUGGCCUACAUU
ensembl:snoRNA